rnacentral:hammerhead_ribozyme from 1 species
AUCCAGCUGAAGAGUCCCAAACAGGACGAAACGUGCAUCCUGGAU